rnacentral:rRNA from 1 species
GUACACGGUGGAUGCCCUGGCAGUCAGAGGCGAUGAAGGACGUGCUAAUCUGCGAUAAGCGUCGGUAAGGUGAUAUGAACCGUUAUAACCGGCGAUUUCCGAAUGGGGAAACCCAGUGUGUUUCGACACACUAUCAUUAACUGAAUCCAUAGGUUAAUGAGGCGAACCGGGGGAACUGAAACAUCUAAGUACCCCGAGGAAAAGAAAUCAACCGAGAUUCCCCCAGUAGCGGCGAGCGAACGGGGAGCAGCCCAGAGCCUGAAUCAGUGUGUGUGUUAGUGGAAGCGUCUGGAAAGGCGCGCGAUACAGGGUGACAGCCCCGUACACAAAAAUGCACAUGCUGUGAGCUCGAUGAGUAGGGCGGGACACGUGGUAUCCUGUCUGAAUAUGGGGGGACCAUCCUCCAAGGCUAAAUACUCCUGACUGACCGAUAGUGAACCAGUACCGUGAGGGAAAGGCGAAAAGAACCCCGGCGAGGGGAGUGAAAAAGAACCUGAAACCGUGUACGUACAAGCAGUGGGAGCACGCUUAGGCGUGUGACUGCGUACCUUUUGUAUAAUGGGUCAGCGACUUAUAUUCUGUAGCAAGGUUAACCGAAUAGGGGAGCCGAAGGGAAACCGAGUCUUAACUGGGCGUUAAGUUGCAGGGUAUAGACCCGAAACCCGGUGAUCUAGCCAUGGGCAGGUUGAAGGUUGGGUAACACUAACUGGAGGACCGAACCGACUAAUGUUGAAAAAUUAGCGGAUGACUUGUGGCUGGGGGUGAAAGGCCAAUCAAACCGGGAGAUAGCUGGUUCUCCCCGAAAGCUAUUUAGGUAGCGCCUCGUGAAUUCAUCUCCGGGGGUAGAGCACUGUUUCGGCAAGGGGGUCAUCCCGACUUACCAACCCGAUGCAAACUGCGAAUACCGGAGAAUGUUAUCACGGGAGACACACGGCGGGUGCUAACGUCCGUCGUGAAGAGGGAAACAACCCAGACCGCCAGCUAAGGUCCCAAAGUCAUGGUUAAGUGGGAAACGAUGUGGGAAGGCCCAGACAGCCAGGAUGUUGGCUUAGAAGCAGCCAUCAUUUAAAGAAAGCGUAAUAGCUCACUGGUCGAGUCGGCCUGCGCGGAAGAUGUAACGGGGCUAAACCAUGCACCGAAGCUGCGGCAGCGACGCUUAUGCGUUGUUGGGUAGGGGAGCGUUCUGUAAGCCUG